GGGGAAUAUUGCACAAUGGGCGAAAGCCUGAUGCAGCAACGCCGCGUGAGGGAUGAAGGUUUUCGGAUCGUAAACCUCUGUCAGAAGGGAAGAAACUGCCGUGCUCUAAUCAUCAUGGCAUUGACGGUACCUUCAAAGGAAGCACCGGCUAACUCCGUCCCAGCAGCCGCGGUAAUACGGAGGGUGCAAGCGUUAAUCGGAAUUACUGGGCGUAAAGCGACGUAGGCUGUUGUGUAAGUCAGGGGUGAAAUCCCACGGCUCAACCGUGGAACUGCCUUUGAUACUGCUUAGCUUGAAUCCGGGAGAGGGUGACGGAAUUCCAGGUGUAGGACUGAAAUCCGUAGAUAUCUGGAGGAACAUCAGUGGCGAAGGCGGCCACCUGGACCGGUAUUGACGCUGAGGCGCGAAAGCGUGGGGAGCAAACA
rnacentral:rRNA from 1 species